UCAUAUGUUGUUGUUUGUGUUAUUAUGGAUGUUAUUGGUGAGGUAUGCUUAUGUUUUUGUUGAGGUAUGUUUUUGUUUUGUUAGGUAAGUUGUUAUUUUUGUUUUUGUAUAUGUUUUUUGAGGUUUGUUAAUGUUUUUUGUUGAGGUGUGAUAUUUUUUUGUUAAGGUACACUUUUUUGCUGAUAAAUGUUGUUGUUUGUGUUAUUGUGGAUGUUUUUUGUUGAGGUGUGUUAUUGUUUUGUUAAGGUACAUUUUUUUGUUGAUAAAUGUUGUUAUUUGUGGUAUUGUAGAUGUUUUUGUUG
rnacentral:lncRNA from 1 species